UCUUUUUUUAUUGCGUCACGCGACGACGGGGUAUGUGCGAAGAAAUAUUUUAAUUAUAUUGUUUUGGACGGUCGGUGGUGGUUUUAUGGCGUGUUAAGUCGGGGUUUCACGUUGGGUGAGCUCCGAGGGGUUGAAUCGCGGAGAAUGGAGCUGGAGGGGAAGGCAUAAGGAGAAACGGAGUGCAGAACAUGUCGGAUCAUACCAGCACUAAAGCACCGGAUCCCAUCAGAACUCCGAAGUUAAGCGUGCUUGGGCGAGAGUAGUACUAGGAUGGGUGACCUCUUGGGAAGUCCUCGUGUUGCAUCCC
rnacentral:rRNA from 1 species